rnacentral:rRNA from 1 species
UAUUCCUUUGAGAGACUUUUAUUUCCCGAUAAAAAAAGAUCUAUUCUUAAUCUAGUAAUAGCUUUUACUUUCAAUGUUGAAUUAUUGAUUGGAAAUUCAAGUAUAGAGGCGAAACACCUUCAAUUUUUUUGAUAUCUGGAUUUAACCUAAAUGAAUUUAGUUCAUAAAUUAACCAAAGAGUUAUAAGAUUCUUUGGAAUUAGAAUUAUUGUCACUACAGUUAAACGGAAUAAUUUCUUCCUUUUUAUUUAUUUAAUCGUAUUUAUUUCUGUUUUAUCUGUUUAAUAAGUUUUAAUACUAACCUUAUUUAUGUUUGAUUAGUUAAUAAUGUUUAAAUUAGUAUUUCUGAAUUUGUAAAUCAAAGAAAGGAACUCGGCAAAAUUACUCCUCGACUGUUUACCAAAAACAUAGCUUGGAGUUAGAUUGUUCUAAGUGAAACCUGCCCAGUGAGAAAUUUUAACGGCCGCAGUACACUGACUGUGCUAAGGUAGCAUAAUAAAUUGGCUUUUAAUUGAAGUCGGGUAUGAAAGGAGUUAUGGGGAGUGUCUGUCUCUUUACGAUUUUUAAAAGUUACUAAGGAAGUGAAAAUUCUUCCGUAUCUAAUGUAAGACGAGAAGACCCUAAGAAUUUUUAUAAUUAAAAUUGUACUAAUUUGUAAAUUUUUGUUGGGGCAACAAAUUUGGGUAACCAAAUUUUUAUGAAUUAUACAAACCAAAUUAUUUUAAAUCAGAUAAAAUUACCUUAGGGAUAACAGCAUAAUUAAAUUUUUAGAUUGUGACCUCGAUGUUGGACUAAGGACUUAAAUAAAUAGCCUUUAUUUUAGCUGGUUCUGUUCGAACUAUACACCUUA